UACAGAGGUCUCAAGCGUUGUUCGGGAUUCAUUGGGCGUAAAGGGUGCGUAGGCGGCGCGGUAAGUCGGGUGUGGAAAUCUCGGGGCUUAACUCCGAAAACUGCAUUCGAUACUGCUGUGCUUGAGGACUGGAGAGGAGACUGGAAUUUACGGUGUAGCGGUGAAAUGCGUAGAUAUCGUAAGGAAGACCAGUGGCGAAGGCGGGUCUCUGGGACAGUUCCUGACGCUGAGGAGCGAAAGCGUGGGGAGCAA
rnacentral:rRNA from 1 species